GGGACUGACAGGGAUAAUUAGUAAUGAGGCUAGGGCUUCCGGUUGUGUUAUCCUGGCCUUAGGAUACUACAAUAGGGUACGAUUACAUAGGUCUCGCUACCGAACGAAACUCGUGAGAUUAAAGAAGUUUCAUUGCUACGGCCUUUGUGCUUGGCCGGUGAAGUCCGAUCCUCGCGCUACGGCCGGCUUCCCAGCUCAUCCAGCCACGAGCGGCACUCCGCCUGGCCGGCUGGGCCGGGUUCCAGGUUGAUGCUCGAAAAAUUGACGUUGUUGAAUUUAUAUGCGAUAACCUCGACCUUAAUGGCACCGACGACCGUGGUCUGAACUGGAGGUUACCUAGGAGCAAUUCCCUAAAUCUAACAUGAGUAAGGUUUAUGGUCUGUGAUUACGUGGGCCAUAAAAAUAAAUAACGGUGAUGGAGGGGCACAGUCCUAACCCAUUAAACGCGCGGACGACGGAAGGAACCUACACCAUCGGCAAAGAGUCCGAGGGAGAGGCCUUAGCUUGGGAUUAAGAGGCAGUGGGCAGUGGUGGUACCAUCCGGGGAUAGGAUGGUAGCUU
rnacentral:rRNA from 1 species